rnacentral:antisense_RNA from 1 species
AGGCUCCUUGAAGACGCCCGUGGUGAGAUCAGCCCCAGGUCGCCGCUUCCACAGAUGGGCCUUUUCCUAAAGCGGAUGAAGGGAGUCAAAUAGGCCAGCUUCAUGUCUUGAUCUGCCUUUGCUGUCAUUCAUGCAUCUGUCCUCAUGAAGGCUUAAUCUACCAUGUUUAUCAGAAGUCUCAGCCUAAAUUCAUUCAAUUUUUACCUAGAGAUGAGGAAUGUGUUAAAUCACUCUACUCCACAAGGAACCAAACCAAACAGCAUCAGCACCAGGCUGAGUCGCGGAAAGGAUCUGUCAGGCCACUCCACUGGCAUCGACUCGGCUCAGGAGCUACGUUCAAAGGAGGAGGACAUGUGAGGUGAAAGGGCUGCAGGCAGAGGAACCUGGAGCAGCAGGAGGCCACCUCCCAUAGGCUCCACUCCCAGGGGCCAACAGAGAGACCACACCCAGAACUGAACCAGGGAUACGCAGACACCAAUGGAGAAGACAUGAGCGUCAAUCUCCUCCACUGAGCAGCAUGGCUUCUCUACUGACAUCCAUGAACUAGACUACAACUCUCUAAGUUAAUCACAUUUACUAAGUUAGUUAGCACCGACGUCACUGAUCCACGCCACAUCCAUGGAUUCAUGAGUCACAGAGACAGCAGUAAACAGCCUUCAGGCCACGGUUUGGGCCAUUCCUCUGCCAGCGUAUUCCAGCCGACGUCUGUUUUCCUAUCAGACUACUCACUGCAAGGCACAGAAGCGAGUGCAGGAUCUAAGGCCACACCGCAGGGUCUGAACUCACUUAACUGGGCCGACACCGAACAAGAUACUUAAUCCUCCUGAACCUCAGUUUCUUCAUCUGUGUACGGGGGAUAUGAACCCCCACAUGCUGGACUGUUCUGAGAAUUGAGUUAAUAUGUGUAAAACAUGAGAGGGGCUCCUGACACCUGCCAGGUGCUCACCGGGCGCCAGCACGAUCAGUACAUACCUCGACCGUGUGUGGGCGCACAGGCCUCCGUUCCUUCUUACUCCGACCGAUGCUUCUAAGGAAGUCUUCGACUGCUUUUUCUGUCUGAGACAUCUGCUGAGGAGUUGCAUUCACUGAACACCUGUUUGAAAAAUUACAUAUACAUAAAACCACUGUUAGAAAAAACAGUUUUAGUAAUUCAUCACAUUUUGUAUAAUAACUCAAUAAUGUUGUUUUUAUAGAAAAUGUUCAAAGUGUUAAAAGAAACAGUAGCCAAAUGUGGAAAUACCACAGCUGCCUCCCUGCUCUGCAGUGCUUCAGGUUAUCAAGAGAUUUCUGCACAGUUCAGUGUGGCAGCUAACGAAGCCGUCCAGACGCGGAGCCUGAGACUCUAAACUCUUGUUCUUCCGAAGAGCAAAGAAAAUACAGAGACUAUUAAGAUCUGCUAACUAUGCCUUCAGAAUUAUACUAUCAAAACACUGACAACUUUUAAAAUUACUGUCCAGAAGUCAUCAAUUUGAAAAUGUGAAGUGGUUGUUAAAGCAGAACAUUAUAAAGUACAAAAAAUUACCAUGCUCUCAAAGUCACAUGAAAAUAGAACUCUUCCAAAUUCUACAGAAUUGCAAAUAAUACUGUCAUAUAAAAGCUACCUGAACUCUACAGUAUAUUGACAGAGUGUAUAUUUUUUCCUUUUGGCUGUAAAUCCUAAACUUAUUCUAGUUAAAGUAACAGCAGGUACCAUUAUAUUAAUACUAACUAUAUCCCAGGCAUGUAUGCUGCCUUGCAGAUAUUCUUUCUUUUAUUCCUUACAAUAAACCUGCAAAGGAAGGUUUUAUGGAGGAGGAAGCAGAAGACGCAAGUGGGUCAGCUGCCCAGGACCGCCUGGGAGCGAGCGUGAGUGCUGGCCUGGCACCGGAAGCCAGGCCUGCCUGAGCCCAAUGCCAAGAGACCCUGAUCGCCAGGCUUCACCUCUGGCCACCCACAGACCGCCCUGUAGAAUCUGCCAGGGAUUCUCAAGACAUGACUGGGGAAAGGCAUCAGGACUCUCUGUGAAGAAGGACAAGUGACUUCAGCAAACAUUUUCUUGUUAAGUACUGACAAAUACAUCAAUGUCACUGACAAUAAGAUGCUGAAAAUAAACUGUUAAUCAUUUCUAAACUUUAUUCAUGCUCACACAGCUGAGGGCAUUAGGCCAACAGCAGGUACAGCACUGAGCUGCCAGAUGUUUCCUCAAAGCAUCAUAUAAUUUUAUAAGAAACUGCACUUUUACUCUGGUCUUCAGCAAGCUCACCUUUACAGAUAUCUCAGUUACGGACCAUGUACUUUUGGAAGCAAUAUAACUACUUGCCCUCUACCUAUUUGCACUUCUAGAACAAAAUUAGCCUGCUUUCUUCCCCAUCUCCUACAAGUUUUAAUAAGCUUCAAAUAUUUUCUUAAUUAGAACACUUGACAUUUACAAUAAAUUCUAUAACUUUACCUUUACCAAGCACUCUAUCUUGAAGUUUCUACAAGUAAAAAAUACCUAAAAACUAUACUUAAUAGAAUGAAUCAUAAAAUAUUUAGAAACAAAUCACAAAUGCACCUCAUAUUAUCACCAUUUAACAAGUGUUUCUUGAUACGUGGGAGCUUCCUCAGGAUGGGUUUGAUGUCUGUCAUUUCUGCAAUCCUCUUCAUCAGCUGCACCUGAGCCAGAGGAAGCUCACUCAGAGAGAGGCAGAGGCCACAACAGACCCGCUCAGUCUGAAUCAAGCACCCGUGACAUCAGAACCCUGCUUGGACAGGGGUUAUGUGUGUGAGUGCGUGGCUUGAGGAGGGCUGGAACUGGGGUGCGGGGUGGUAUAAAGAGGAAGAUGAGUUAAAACCAACCGACCAAUUCUUCCCUAUAUUUAGUCAGUUAGGAAGUUAGCAUUUCUGGGAUGUAAAUUAAUGUAUUCCCAAAGAAAUCAGUAACUCUGGAAAAUGUGGCUAAACCAGAGUAACAGAGGUUCCUUCCAAGCUUCCUACCUGAUCCAUCCCGCUGAAGGUCUCCUGCAGGUCCCCUGCGGGCGUGAGGGUCCGGCCUGCCCUGAUGGACGCGUACAGGUGCCCGGAGUCGGGAAUUGCAUUGGUGAGCUCCUGGGCGGUCAUCUUCACCAGCACCUUGAAGUGCUCCUCUUCUUCAAAGCACGGGCUAUGGAAAAAGAAGAAAAAAUUCCUGGAGACCCAUUCAUCAUGUCCCUUCAGUAUCAUGGAAAGUUGAUUAAGUUUUCAGACUACUUUAACAACCAAAGAAAUUUUAUAAGUCCGUAUGAACUAUAAGUAAAAGUCAGACUUGGAAAUCAACAGCACACACGAGUACAACUGUCUCCUUUAAAGCACUUCAAACGAAGGCCUCUAGUACACCCCAAGAAUGGACAACCCUUGCAAAUAAAGUUACUUGUUAAAUAUUUCACUCCAUAGAUGCAUCAUGUCUGGCAGGUUUCGAUCCAGGCAGAGAGAGGAGAAAAGCACACCCUGAACCAAAGAAAACACAGAAGAAGAAAGGAAUUACGGCCAAAUCAGUGACAGACACUGGAGAAAAGCUUCCCACCGCAGCUGUCAUCUGACGGUAACAGGCUACCUGCUCGUAGGUGUCCAUGUGCGAGUCGUCGGGAAGCACGUGGGGAGAAGCGCUCAUCCCUCCGGUCUUCAGUUCUAUCUGCUGAGCCUGCUCCCGGUAGUCAAGGAGGCCGCAGCCCAGCCUGACACAGCAGAGAAGCAUCGCCCCGAUUACAAGGCAGUCUUUACUGAACCAUUUUUAAAAUCGUGCAUCUUGAAUUACAAGUUGCUUCCAUUAAUUCAGUAACCGCGGCUUUGCCAACCUCUCUACACUUCGAAGGUUAUCAAGCAGGUGCACUCUGGCCUUUGCCUUCGAGAGUUCACGCGCCCCCUCCCCCAGGGAGACCCCAGUUUCUCCCGCCUGGGAAGUCAGUGUCCAGAGGCACAAGACACUUGGGCGGCCAAUGUCUGCACUCAAAACAACAUUCCAAAAUAGGCAUUUCCAGUCGUAAGCUUUUCAAUAAAUGUUUUAUGA